rnacentral:sRNA from 1 species
ACAGUCAUCCUGGCAGUCCCCGCUGAAGUGGAGCAGGUACAGUCACAGCUGUGGGGACAGCAUGCUGGCCAAGGGUCUUUCCCCACGCUCAGUCCUGGUCAAAGGCUGCCAGACCUUUCUGAGUGCCCCCAGGGAGGGGCUGGGGCGUUUCAGGGUGCCCACUGGCGAGAGAGCUGGCAUCUCCACUCGCAGUCCUCGCCCCUUCAAUGAGAUCCCCUCUCCUGGUGACAAUGGCUGGCUAAACCUGUACCAUUUCUGGAGGGAGACGGGCACACACAAAGUCCACCUUCACCAUGUCCAGAAUUUCCAGAAGUAUGGCCCGAUUUACAGAUGGACUUGCCACCAGUGCCAUUAUGGCAUGUGAAGUCACCACCCUGACACAUAAACUCUGGAAUAAUUCUGUGAAAGCAGGAACCCUUAUAACCAAAUCCUUUCUCUCCAGUGCUCAAAGCAUGAAAGUUUUCUGCUGUUUUUGGAAUCUUGUCCGCAAACAGCUCGAAGGAGACAUGGCCCAAGGGCUCGCCAUGACAGCGAUGUCAAAGAACACGGUGGGGUUGACCAUGGCUGAUAGUAGAGGGCUCCUGGCGGCAGUGAUGGCAUCUGCAAAGUGACAGGUUAUAAACUAUUUUAAACAAUUUCAGUAUUCGCUGGUUUAACACGAAAGUCUUUUCUUGAUAUGUAAUUAACUUUUUGUUGUUGUUUUAUGUGGGUUAGUAGCUUUAUACAAGAAAAUUUG